GGAUGUGAGGGCGAUCUGACAUGCUACAUCUGUCUCCCUAUUGAUUGCCAGGGUUGAUUCUGCUGAUCGGCUGAUCUGGCUGGCUAUGUGGUGUCCCCUUCCUCCCUCACUGCUCAAUGUACAUCCCUCUUGAAGCUGCGCUCUCGGUCAAAGAGGACGGCCUUCCCAGAACAGAGACAGACCAGUCUUUGGUCGAGGUUAUAUGAGUAGCUGCGCUCCCCUGCUAGAACCUUCAAACAUGUUCAUAUUACACACUAUUAUUUGUUUUAUUAUUAUUUUGAUUUUGGUGCCACAUCAAACAAUGUU
rnacentral:snRNA from 1 species